GAAGAACCUUACCUAAGCUUGACAUCCCAAUGACAUCUCCUUAAUCGGAGAGUUCCCUUCGGGGACAUUGGUGACAGGUGGUGCAUGGUUGUCGUCAGCUCGUGUCGUGAGAUGUUGGGUUAAGUCCCGCAACGAGCGCAACCCUUGUCUUUAGUUGCCAUCAUUAAGUUGGGCACUCUAGAGAGACUGCCAGGGAUAACCUGGAGGAAGGUGGGGAUGACGUCAAAUCAUCAUGCCCCUUAUGCUUAGGGCUACACACGUGCUACAAUGGGUAGUACAGAGGGUUGCCAAGCCGUAAGGUGGAGCUAAUCCCUUAAAGCUACUCUCAGUUCGGAUUGUAGGCUGAAACUCGCCUACAUGAAGCUGGAGUUACUAGUAAUCGCAGAUCAGAAUGCUGCGGUGAAUGCGUUCCCGGGUCUUGUACACACCGCCCGUCACACCACGGGAGUUGGAGACGCCCGAAGCCGAUUAUCUAACCUUUUGGAAGAAGUCGUCGAAGGUGGAAUCAAUAACUGGGGUGAAGUCGUAACAAGGUAGCCGUAUCGGAAGGUGCGGCUGGAUCACCUCCUUUCUAAGGAGA
rnacentral:rRNA from 1 species